UUCCCGAGCAGUUUCGGAGAGUAAUUCAGGAAGCAGAUCAGGUGUGGAUUGCCAAAUGCCUUUAUGAACGAACAGGCCAGCUAAAACAAAGAUUCCAAGCCUACUGGUUUCACCCCCCACUGGAGCCCAAACCAUCUCCUCCUGAGCCUGGGUGGUACUACCGGCAGAGGCUGUUCAUCUGGGCACCAAUGAGGAUGUGGGGGAUUCUUUUAAAAUGCCCACAAUGUUCCCGGAAAAUCAACAGCUCUGGGAUCUACAGAAAGGUCAGGGAGGUGAUUGAUGUGGAUAGCCGCUACUACCUAGUGGGAGGGGACUAUCCACGUUGCAGCAAGUGCUCUCAGCCGAUCUGCCCAUGGAGCCAGGAUAUGCUCUCCCAGGUUGAUGUGGCACACAGGAUCUUGUUCCCAGCUGUCCUCACUACACAGCUGUCUCUGGACAGAAAAUGUAUGACUUUCCUGAAGCCAAGGACAAGUGGCAACAGUUCCUCCUACCUCCAGUCUGCAAUAGAGGAAGCGCACACCGAGGAGUGGGCACGGCAGACCAUCCGCUAACUCUCGGACUGUGAGCGCCAUAUGAAGAUGGCUACCUUCAUCCCCUCUGCAGCUGUUCUUCCACCACCACCACCCUUCAGGCCCCUUCCACUUGCUCAGUGGUUUGAGACAGUCCACUCAAAUGACAUCCUCAGCCACAUCGAGGAGAUGAAGGGAGUCAUCACUUCUACCUAUGGUAGAAUUCUGAAAAUGGACUCGACGAAGAAGAUCACCAAGAAGCUGGCUGGUGGGAUCGAGGACAGUGCUACAUGAAUGUCAAACAUCGGCAACGAGUUUGGCCAGGUGUUGAACUCCGUGCUGACGACAGGUGAAGGUGCAGGGUUGGAGGAGUUGUGCCAAGGCAUCGUCACCCGGUACAAGAAUGCGGGCCAAGCUGAACCUGAAGUCAUCUAUGUUGACAGAGACUGCUGCAGCCAGUCAGGUGUGUCUUUAUUGGCAAAGCUCUUUCACCCAUGGAGGUCUACGG